UACAGAGGUGGCAAGCGUUGUUCGGAAUUACUGGGCGUAAAGGGCGCGUAGGCGGCCAUCUAAGUCAGACGUGAAAUCCCCCGGCUUAACCUGGGAACUGCGUCUGAUACUGGAAGGCUUGAGUAUGGGAGAGGGAUGUAGAAUUCCAGGUGUAGCGGUGAAAUGCGUAGAUAUCGGGAGGAACACCAGUGGCGAAGGCGACUUCCUGGCCUGUUCUUGACGCUGAGGCGCGAAAGCUAGGGGAGCAAACGGG
rnacentral:rRNA from 1 species